GGUUGUGGAACAGAAUGGUGAUGAGGUGCAAGAACAUGGACAAGAUGGCACUCAACAGGAGAGCCAAGAAGAGGCUGUUGUUGUAGAUGCUGACUCUACUGAUAGUGCAGUACUCGUCAAUGGAAACGAGGCUGAAGAAGAGUGGGGUACGAAUACUGAAGGAAAACCGUCAGCCUAAAAGCAAUUGGUUGGGCCGGUGUGAAAAUCCUAAUUUUGUAGCUGGUGAUUAAUUGAAUUUCUUUUAGUUGCUGUGUUUGGCUCCUAUACAUUCCAAAUCCUUCUCUUUUUUCUUUUAUGCCUCCUUGUUUUUUCUUUAACCUUAACUGCUUGAAGCAAUUGCAAUUUUGGCAAACCCAACCUUGAGAAGGCAUAUUGCCUUUCCUAUGAAAUACUAAAAUGUGGAGUUUGGAGUUUGUUCUCUUCUUUCAUGUCUAGAUAUUAAUGUAUUUUCAAGCUUUUUAAAGUACCUCAAUCCAUAGAUAAUUUCUGUCAUUUAGCUUGAACUGCUUCUAUGGGUGAAAAUUCCAGCACUGGCUAAUAUUUUUCAGCUGAUUAGCAUUUGACAUUCAUUUGUUUCUUGCAUAGGUUAGGAAGUUAACUACGUUGGUAUUCAUUUGUUUCUUGGCAUUUCACUUCUCCUUCUCGAUUAGUCCCUAUUUGUGCUUGUUCUUUUCUUUUUCGUUCAAUUUAUUGUUACUUUAUACUGCCUCUCUUAUUAGCUGUUGUGUUAUGUUUUCGUCAAUGUUUUUUUCUUCUUCUUUAUACCUGAAGUUGCUGAACUUGAGCCAAGGGUCUUUACGAAAUAACCUUUCUACCUCCACGAGGUAGUGGUAAAGUCUGCGUACACUCUACCCUCCCCAGACCCCACUUGUGGGAUUUCACUGGGUAUGUUGUUUUUUGUGGUUGUCAAUUUAUUGUUAGUUACCUCUCAUUCCUUUUUAUUCUUUUUGCAGUGCUUACACCACAUAACUAGGUUCAGUGAAGACAGUUGGUUCCAGCUGUAUGUAAUCCGUUCUUAUGGUGAGAAUUGAGUUUUCUGCAUCAAGCAUAAUUUUAUGCAUCCUUUGUCUGAUAAACAGUUCUUAUCUGUAUGUCUUCUUGAUUGGGGGUGCUUCAAAUUUUAUCUUAUUUACCAAGUCUUUUGUGUGCUAACUACACUUGCACGCAUAUCAUUUCAUUUGCUUGACUGGUGCCCUUGUAGAAUAUUUGAACUUGUACAUUUAACCUUGUUCUGCCUUGGGCUAUAUGCAAGAAACUGAAGAAGCCAUGUUUCCCCCCCUAGAAUUUGGUUAAUUUUUUUAUUCAUACGUAUGUGUAACCACAUUGUAAUACAGAAAUAUUCUUGAAAGCGCUGUGUGUACUAUCCAGAAAAAGAUAGAAUAAUUGUGUUCUGCAGUUCUUUCACUUGCAUAAUGUUUUAGUUUACAUUAUUUGACUACACUUCAAUAAUGCAGAUCUUCGAAAAGUUCUGCUUACAAUGUAUAAUGAGUGUUUGAAUUCCUUGGCUUUAUAGAACAUUUAGACCGAAGAAAAAUCUUCAAUUUGUUUGGCCAGAUUAAGCUAUAAUUAUUUUCAGUUUUGUUUUUUACACCUUAAUUCGUGUUGACAGGUUGUAGAAUUCUGACAAAUUCCUGAAUUCCUUGUUUACCUUCACAUCAGGGAAAACAUGCACUGUUUGGGCCGUUUGACAGAAAUUUGAACUUUUCAUUCCAGGUUCUCAAAGUUGUUGUCUGAAUGGGACGAACGAUGAAGGGACUGGCUGUCUGUCUGUUUUGAGUGGUGAACGAGUUUUGGUGGCACACUGUAGAAAACAUUUGUCCCAGCUCAGUUAGUCACGCAUAGAUUUAUACACUAUUAUUCUUUAUGAGGGAUACCAUUCUUUAAUCCGUCAAAAUUCUUUCAAUCCAUCGUGAAUGUAAAAACAGUUGCACAAAAUAUGCAAGUGGAGAUACUGCGGAAGUGCUUUUGAGUUCAUAUUUCUCUAUGAUUCUCCAACUCACUGUGUUCCCUUCACCAGAGCCUUUUCUGCCAACUGUAUUCAGUCAAUGGUAGUAACAAUCUCUAUGUAGCAGAUUGAGAUAUUAAUAUUUUCUUUUUUCCAUUUUAUUGGCCCAAUCACUUUCACUAUAUUAA
rnacentral:lncRNA from 1 species